UACGAAGGGGGCUAGCGUUGCGCGGAAUUACUGGGCGUAAAGGGCGCGUAGGCGGCACUGUUAGUCAGGCGUGAAAGUCCUGGGCUCAACCUGGGAACUGCGCUUGAUACGGCAGAGCUAGAGGAUGGAAGAGGCUCGCGGAAUUCCCAGUGUAGAGGUGAAAAUUCGUAGAUAUUGGGAAGAACACCGGUGGCGAAGGCGGCGAGCUGGUCCAUUACUGACGCUGAGGCGCGACAGCGUGGGGGAGCAAACAGG
rnacentral:rRNA from 1 species